rnacentral:lncRNA from 1 species
UGCAUAUCUUGUUUACCUGGAGUUGGGUUUAACUUCCUGGAGCUGUGGAGCAACAGAAACUUUCACUCUCAUGCUCCUCAAUGGCCAUGGAAACAUAUCCUCCCUUGUCUCCAGGACUCAAAAAUGAACUGGUUAGUGUGGGAAAGUAUUCUGCUUCAAAAGGAGUGGCCUAGAGUAGACUUUCUCAAAGUGUAACCCUUAACCCUUGGGCAUUAGAAAUGUCUGGGAUUCUUGAAUAAAAGGAAGGACUGAAAAACUGAACUCUAUGUCUCACAUGUCAGGGCUCAGUAAGCCAUAUUUCCAACACAAUUCCCAAGUGAUUUCACC